rnacentral:rRNA from 1 species
UACGGGGGGAGCAAGCGUUGUUCGGAUUUACUGGGCGUAAAGGGCGCGUAGGCGGCGUGACAAGUCACUUGUGAAAUCUCCGGGCUUAACUCGGAGCGGCCAAGUGAUACUGUCGUGCUAGAGUGCGGAAGGGGCUACUGGAAUUCUCGGUGUAGCGGUGAAAUGCGCAGAUAUCGGGAAGAACACCCGUGGCGAAGGCGGUUCUCUGGGACGGUACUGACGCUGAGACGCGAAAGCGUGGGGAGCGAACAGG